AGAGUCUGUGCCACGCUCCGCCGAUUCAUCCGUCACCACCAUGCCGCUGAUGACGGACAAGCAAUACCACCAAUAUGCCAUCAGCAUCAGCAAGGCUAUCAACAAUAUGGAAACUCCAGUGAAGCAGAAACAUGUGAGAAGCACAAUCAUUGGAACAUUUCAAGAAAAAGGUGGAGCAACUUUCUGGGCAUGUGCGCUGCGACUGCCUUUGCAGGACAGUCGUAUUGUUGCAUGGAAGUUCUGUCAUGUGCUGCAUAAGGUGCUGAGAGAAGGCCACCCGCAGGUUUUACCGUAUUCACAACGUUACAGAGGGAAGAUCGAGGACCUGGGGAAAUAUUGGUGCCACUUGAGGGAGGGAUAUGGGAAAUUAAUACAAAUUUACUGCUCAUUACUGAUGACAAAAUUGGACUUCCAUAGACGUAAUCCUCGGUUUCCAGGAAACAUGCAAGUUACUCAAGAAGAACUGGAAAGUAUUGGAGAAAAUGAUAUAAAUAAUUACUUCCAGAUGUCAGUGGAGAUGUUUGACUACAUGGAUGAAAUUCUAAGUCUUCAGUCAGCAGUUUUUGGACAAUUAGACAUGUCCCGGUCGAAUUCAAUGACUAGUUGUGGACAGUGUCGCCUGGCUCCACUGAUACCAUGUAUACAAGACUCAUCACAACUCUAUGACUAUUGUGUGAAAAUACUUUUUAAAUUACAUGCAAGCUUACCACCAGAUACACUGGGUGGCCACAGAGAGAGGUUUCUUAAGCAAUUUAAAGAGCUGAGACAGUUCUACCUUACUGCAAAUACAAUGCAAUACUUCAAGUCCCUUAUACAAAUUACAUUGUUGCCAGAGAAACCACCGAACUUCUUAGUGGAAGCCGAUCUUCGCAGUUAUGUGACACCAGUCGUAGUGCUUCCACCAGAGGAGAGUACUCAUGAAACAGAGUCUACUGAUGGUACCCUGAUUGAUACUACUGAUGCGGGAUCAACUGGAGAGUUAUUGGAUUUACAUAGUCGAAAUGGUUCCAUAUCGCCAGAUGUACUAGCAGAAAGGGACAAUUUAAUUGAACACCUACAUAUGGAAAUAGCACGCCUUCGUCAAGAAAUUCAGAGACUAAUAGCAGAGCACAAAAGGAUUGUGGAACAAUUGAAUGAGCGAAUAAUGGACUUGGAGACCCAACUAGCAACAAAGGACAGUGAACUUCUUCAGGAAAAACAGCUGAAGGAUGACCUACUUCAGCAGACAGAGGAUUUUUCAAGAUACCAGGAAACAGAAAAGAAGGCCAAAACAAUAGAGGAAAAGUUUCAGAAAUUAAAGGAGGUGUACACAAAACUGAGAGAGGAACAUAUUCAGCUAAUACGACAGAAAGCAGAUGUAGAUAAACAGUUACUUCAUGCAAGAACUGUAAGUGAUCAAACUCAGAGGCUGCAAGCAGAAGCAGAAGCAAAAUUGCAGGAAAUGCAGUUUGAGAGAUCAAAAAUGGAGCAGAACCUUGUACAGUCAGCAAAUGAGGCUAGCGAACAGGUAGCUGCACUGAAGGCUGCACAAGAAAAUGCAAAAUUGGAGAAUGAGACACUUGCAGCGCGAGUGGACUGGGUGUUAAAAGAGAAAAGUAAUCUUGAAAGUGAACUCCAUGAUCUUCUAUCACAGAAGGAAGAGUUAGAUCAACAGUUACAGGAAGCAGAAGCUAAGCAUAAAAAAUUUCAGGAUCAGUUAAAGAAAGAGGCAGAGGAUAGAAUGAAAAGCAUACUUGUAUCCUGUGUGGUGCAGGCUGAAACCAUAGUGCAAAGAGCAAUUCAUGAAGUUGACAAUCCAGCUUUAUCAGCAGUUACGUGUACACCAGCCACAGAGUUGCUUCGAACUAUCAUCUCACAGCAUCUUGCAUGGAUUUAUUAUUUCCAAAGUCUGACUGAUCCUGUUGUUGCAUCAUUGGAUGACAUCAGUGCAUCAUACAAAAUGUUCCAUGACAACUCGGCAAACAUAGAUGACCUCUUAAAACAUAUUUCACAUGUUGCUCACCUAAUAGCUAAUUAUUUAAUUCAAGGAAAAACUACUUCAAACACAUCACCAGACAUAGAAUUUGGAGAGCGAAUUGCAGAAGCCUGUAAACAGGCUGGAACUGAGUCACUUGUACUUCUUGCAAGUGUAAAAUCAGUGGCUCCAUCAUCGUCUAUAACAGACAAUGCAAACACUGUUAAGCAGAAAGUUAAAGAUGUGACUGAUUUAAUGGAAAGACUGAUAAGUCAGUUAAAAGGAGACUCUGCAGAAAUGAUAGAAGAUCUAGUUGAGAAUGAACUGUCAAGUAUGGACAAAGCAAUAGAAGAGGCUGCAGCUAGAAUAGAGGAAAUGUUAAAUAAAUCCAGAGCUGCCGAUUCUGGUAUUAAGCUUGAAGUAAAUGAGAAGAUUCUAGAUUCUUGCACCAACUUGAUGAAAGCAAUUAGGUUGCUUGUUCAGAAAUCUAAACUUUUGCAAGCAGAAAUUAUUUCCCAAGGAAAGGGGACUGCAUCUACAAAGGAAUUUUAUAAACGAAAUCACCAGUGGACUGAAGGCUUGAUAUCAGCAGCAAAGUCUGUGGCAGUGGGAGCUCGUUUCUUAGUAUCGGCAGCAGACAAAGUUGUUAGUGGAAAUGGAAAAUUUGAACAGCUCGUUGUGGCAUCCCAAGAAAUUGCUGCAGGAACAGCACAGUUAGUUGUUGCAAGCAGAGUGAAAGCAGACAGGAAUAGUACUAACCUUGCUGCCCUGUCCCAAGCAUCAAAAGGUGUGACCCAGGCAACAGGUGGUGUUGUUGCAACUGCAAAGUCCUGCAGCCAAAUGGUAGUUGACAAUGAGGAGCUGGAUGUGAGUGGCUUGACUUUACAUCAAGCAAAACGGCUAGAAAUGGAGUCUCAGGUUAAAGUAAUUGAGCUUGAAGCAAACCUGCAGCAGGAACGCCUUCGACUGGCAGCACUCCGGCGGCAGCACUAUCAGCUAGCGGGGGUCACGGAAGGUUGGGAUCCAGAGGCUGAUGAGCAAGCACCCAGUACCCCUAAAUAAGUAAAUGAAGAUGCAGUGUACAUAUAAAAAGUAAUUGUAUAUAAUCUCUUGAGUCAUAGUCACCUCAUUAAUAUUAAACCAUGAAGAUGAAGUUUCGAGAUAAAAACCUUCACCAUAAAAGAAAGGUAUAGACUCAGGCAGUCAUUGCCAUAACAAGAAGUUCAGUUUACCUCUGCAUCAUAACACUGCCAAACUGCAGGCUGGUGACUUCACAAGGAGAAUACUGUCCACAUUUAAUCCAAACCGGUAAACCAUUACCAAGUAUAACAGCAUCAUGAAAGAAGUGUUUCAACUGGUGAUGCAAUCGUGAAGGGAAAAGAUAAAGUUUUGACUGCAGACUGUGCAAUGUGAAGACACAGCCUACAAAUGAGGCUGAUCUGUAGCUGCUGAUGUAACUACAUCUGAGCCUUUUCCAUGUACCAAUCUUUUCUAUGUAUUUUUAUUUAUGUGAUAUCCACAGAGUAUAUCAACGGUAUUUAACACUUUUGAUUAAUGCCGUAAGCAAUGAUUGCAACUCAUUUCAUAAGAAGUUUUUGCCUUACAUUAAGUUGGGAAAGAGACAAAUGUAAAUAUUGUACGCAUCGUAAACAUCAUUAGAAUGUGUGGAAGUUUGAAUCAUUGAACUCAGGGACUGAAGUGUCUUUAAAAUAUGAAACUGUUAAUAAUAUUGUUUUCAAUUUUCCCAUGUAAGUCAUCACACUGGUCUUUAUUUAUUGUUUUCUAAUAUGUAUUAAAACAUAUCACCUCUCCAUUGACAAAUGAUAUAUGCUAACAGUUCUUAUUCAGCUGUAUAGUAAUAGUAAGAACUGCUGAUCAUACCAAAAUAAUAGAUCAACAGGCCCCUCAGCCAUGUUGAUUGUGAAGUAUUUUACUCUACCAAAAUAACACCAAAAUCAAAUAAAUGUAAGUCAUAGAAAAUUUUUGUCAUUAAGUAAUAAAGAAAAUUUACAAACAUCA
rnacentral:misc_RNA from 1 species